AGAGUUUGAUCCUGGCUCAGAAUAAACGCUGGCGGCAUGCUUAACACAUGCAAGUCGUACGAGAAAGUCUCCUUCGGGGGGCGAGUAAAGUGGCGGACGGGUGAGUAACACGUAAGAACCUGCCCUUUGGUUUGGGAUAACGUCGCGAAAGCGGCGCUAAUACCAAAUGAUGUCUACGGUCCAAAGAGGGCGAAAGCUCUCGCCAGAGGAGGGGCUUGCGUCCCAUUAGCUUGUUGGUGAGGUAAUAGCUUACUAAGGCGACGAUGGGUAGCCGGCCUGAGAGGGUGUACGGCCACACUGGAACUGAGAUACGGUCCAGACUCCUACGGGAGGCAGCAGUGGGGAAUAUUGGUCAAUGGGCGAAAGCCUGAACCAGCAAUGCCGUGUGGGGAGAUGAAGCUUUUUGGAGUGUAAGCCCCUUUUAUGAGGAAAGAAGAUAAUUCGGUUAAUACCUGAGUUAUUUGACGGUACCUCAUGAAUAAGCCCCGGCUAACUCCGUGCCAGCAGCCGCGGUAAUACGGAGGGGGCAAGCGUUAUUCGGAAUUACUGGGCGUAAAGGGCGUGUAGGCGGCCUAGCAGGUCAGAUGUGAAAUCCCCGGGCUUAACCCGGGAACUGCGUUUGAAACCGCUGGGCUUGAGUCUGGGAGAGGAAAGCGGAAUUCCUGGUGUAGCGGUGAAAUGCGUAGAUAUCAGGAGGAACACCGGUGGCGAAAGCGGCUUUCUGGACCAGUACUGACGCUGAGACGCGAAAGCGUGGGUAGCAAACGGGAUUAGAUACCCCGGUAGUCCACGCCGUAAACGAUGAGCACUAGAUGUAGCGGAAGUUUUCUGCUGUGCCGCAGCUAACGCAAUAAGUGCUCCGCCUGGGGGGUACGCACGCAAGUGUAAAACUCAAAGGAAUAGACGGGGGCCCGCACAAGCGGUGGAGUAUGUGGUUUAAUUCGAUGCAACGCGAAAAACCUUACCAGGGCUUGACAUGUUGGUGGUAGGGAACCGAAAGGGGACCGACCCGCAAGGGAGCCUUCACAGGUGCUGCAUGCCUGUCGUCAGCUCGUGUCGUGAGAUGUUGGGUUAAGUCCCGCAACGAGCGCAACCCCUACCCUUAGUUGCCAUCAGUUCGGCUGGGAACUCUAGGGGAACUGCCGGUGACAAACCGGAGGAAGGUGGGGAGGACGUCAAGUCCUCAUGGCCCUUACGCCCUGGGCUACACACGUACUACAAUGGUCGGUACAAAGAGUCGCGAGACCGCGAGGUGGAGCCAAUCUCAAAAAACCGGCCUCAAUUCGGAUUGGAGUGUGCAACUCGACUCCACGAAGUCGGAAUCGCUAGUAAUCGCGGAUCAGCACGCCGCGGCGAAAAAGUUCCCGGGCCUCGUACACACCGCCCGUCA
rnacentral:rRNA from 1 species